UGGGGAAUUUUGGACAAUGGGCGCAAGCCUGAUCCAGCCAUGCCGCGUGUCUGAAGAAGGCCUUCGGGUUGUAAAGGACUUUUGUCAGGGAAGAAAAGGCUGUCGCUAAUACCGACAGCUGAUGACGGUACCUGAAGAAUAAGCACCGGCUAACUACGUGCCAGCAGCCGCGGUAAUACGUAGGGUGCGAGCGUUAAUCGGAAUUACUGGGCGUAAAGCGAGCGCAGACGGUUACUUAAGCAGGAUGUGAAAUCCCCGGGCUCAACCUGGGAACUGCGUUCUGAACUGGGUGACUAGAGUGUGUCAGAGGGAGGUAGAAUUCCACGUGUAGCAGUGAAAUGCGUAGAGAUGUGGAGGAAUACCGAUGGCGAAGGCAGCCUCCUGGGAUAACACUGACGUUCAUGCUCGAAAGCGUGGGUAGCAAACAGGAUUAGAUACCCUGGUAGUCCACGCCCUAAACGAUGUCAAUUAGCUGUUGGGCAACUUGAUUGCUUAGUAGCGUAGCUAACGCGUGAAAUUGACCGCCUGGGGAGUACGGUCGCAAGAUUA
rnacentral:rRNA from 1 species